UACGGAGGGUGCAAGCGUUAUCCGGAUUUACUGGGUUUAAAGGGUGCGUAGGUGGGUCUGUAAGUCAGUGGUGAAAUCUCCGAGCUUAACUCGGAAACUGCCAUUGAUACUAUAGGUCUUGAAUUAUCUGGAGGUGAGCGGAAUAUGUCAUGUAGCGGUGAAAUGCUUAGAUAUGACAUAGAGCACCAAUUGCGAAGGCAGCUCACUACGGAUAUAUUGACACUGAGGCACGAAAGCGUGGGGAUCAAACAGG
rnacentral:rRNA from 1 species